AACGAACGCUGGCGGCAUGCCUAACACAUGCAAGUCGAACGAGACCUUCGGGUCUAGUGGCGCACGGGUGCGUAACGCGUGGGAACCUGCCCUUAGGUUCGGAAUAACUCCCCGAAAGGGGUGCUAAUACCGGAUAAUGUCUUCGGACCAAAGAUUUAUCGCCUUUGGAUGGGCCCGCGUUGGAUUAGCUAGUUGGUAGGGUAAAAGCCUACCAAGGCGACGAUCCAUAGCUGGUCUGAGAGGAUGAUCAGCCACACUGGGACUGAGACACGGCCCAGACCCCGACGGGGGGCAGCAGUGGGGAAAAUUGGACAAGGGGCGAAAGCCGGAUCCAGAAAUGCCGGGUGAGUGAUGAAGGCCUUAGGGUUGAAAAGCUUUUUUACCCGGGAUGAUAAUGACAGUACCGGGGAAAAAAGCCCCGGCAAACCCCGU
rnacentral:rRNA from 1 species